CCUACGGGAGGCAGCAGUGGGGAAUAUUGGACAAUGGGCGAAAGCCUGAUCCAGCAAUGCCGCGUGAGUGAUGAAGGCCUUAGGGUUGUAAAGCUCUUUUACCAGGGAUGAUAAUGACAGUACCUGGAGAAUAAGCUCCGGCUAACUCCGUGCCAGCAGCCGCGGUAAUACGGAGGGAGCUAGCGUUGUUCGGAAUUACUGGGCGUAAAGAGUACGUAGGCGGUUAUUCAAGUCAGAGGUGAAAGCCCGGGGCUCAACCCCGGAACUGCCUUUGAAACUAGAUAGCUAGAGUCUUGGAGAGGUUAGUGGAAUUCCGAGUGUAGAGGUGAAAUUCGUAGAUAUUCGGAAGAACACCAGUGGCGAAGGCGACUAACUGGACAAGUACUGACGCUGAGGUACGAAAGCGUGGGGAGCAAACAGGAUUAGAUACCCUGGUAGUCCACGCCGUAAACGAUGAUAACUAGUUGUUCGGGCACUUGGUGCCUGAGUGACGCAGCUAACGCAUUAAGUUAUCCGCCUGGGGAGUACGGUCGCAAGAUUAAAACUCAAAGGAAUUGACGGCUGAGAGUUGCGAGACGACACGAGGGAGAGG
rnacentral:rRNA from 1 species